UCUUAAACGGGAUUGAAGUGGCAUACCCGAUUUUUCAUAGGGAUAUAGCCAAAAGCCCGACUAACG
rnacentral:sRNA from 1 species